AUUGAACGCUGGCGGCAUGCCUUACACAUGCAAGUCGAACGGUAACAGGUCUUCGGAUGCUGACGAGUGGCGAACGGGUGAGUAAUACAUCGGAACGUGCCUAGUAGUGGGGGAUAACUACUCGAAAGAGUGGCUAAUACCGCAUGAGAUCUACGGAUGAAAGCAGGGGAUCGCAAGACCUUGUGCUACUAGAGCGGCCGAUGGCAGAGUUAGGUCGCUGGUGGGAUAAAAGAUUACCAAGCCGACGAUCUGUAGCUGGUCUGAGAGGACGAUCAGCCACACGUGGCUUGAGAGACGGCCCAGACUCCGACGGGAGGCAGCAGUGGGGAAUUUUGGACGAUGGGCGAAAGCCUGAACCAGCAAUGCGGCGUGCAGGACGAAGGCCUUCGUGUUGUAAACUGCUUAUGUACGGAACGAAAAGCCCCGGAUUAAUACCCUGGGGUCAUGACGGUACCGUAAGAAUAAGCACCGGCUAACUACGUGCCAGCCGCCGCGGUAA
rnacentral:rRNA from 1 species